GACGAACGCUGGCGGCGUGCUUAACACAUGCAAGUCGAACGGAAAGGCCCUGCUUUUGUGGGGUGCUCGAGUGGCGAACGGGUGAGUAACACGUGAGUAACCUGCCCUUGACUUUGGGAUAACUUCAGGAAACUGGGGCUAAUACCGGAUAGGAUCUCCUGCUGCAUGGUGGGGGUUGGAAAGUUUCGGCGGUUGGGGAUGGACUCGCGGCUUAUCAGCUUGUUGGUGGGGUAGUGGCUUACCAAGGCUCUGACGGGUAGCCGGCCUGAGAGGGUGACCGGCCACAUUGGGACUGAGAUACGGCCCAGACUCCUACGGGAGGCAGCAGUGGGGAAUAUUGCACAAUGGGCGGAAGCCUGAUGCAGCAACGCCGCGUGCGGGAUGACGGCCUUCGGGUUGUAAACCGCUUUCGCCUGUGACGAAGCGUGAGUGACGGUAAUGGGUAAAGAAGCACCGGCUAACUACGUG
rnacentral:rRNA from 1 species